rnacentral:rRNA from 1 species
GAAGCUUCUAAUCAGAAUGUCUACAUUUUAAGAUUAGAUCUCAAAUCAGGUAGGACUACCCGCUGAACUUAAGCAUAUCAAUAAGCGGAGGAAAAGAAACUAACAAGGAUUCCCCUAGUAGCGGCGAGCGAAGCGGGAAGAGCUCAAAUUUAUAAUCUGGCACCUUCGGUGUCCGAGUUGUAAUCUCUAGAAAUGUUUUCCGCGUUGGACCGCACACAAGUCUGUUGGAAUACAGCGGCAUAGUGGUGAGACCCCCGUAUAUGGUGCGGACGCCCAGCGCUUUGUGAUACAUUUUCGAAGAGUCGAGUUGUUUGGGAAUGCAGCUCAAAUUGGGUGGUAAAUUCCAUCUAAAGCUAAAUAUUGGCGAGAGACCGAUAGCGAACAAGUACCGUGAGGGAAAGAUGAAAAGCACUUUGGAAAGAGAGUUAACAGUACGUGAAAUUGUUGGAAGGGAAACGCUUGAAGUCAGACUUGCUUGCCGAGCAAUCGGUUUGCAGGCCAGCAUCAGUUUUCCGGGAUGGAUAAUGGUAGAGAGAAGGUAGCAGUUUCGGCUGUGUUAUAGCUCUCUGCUGGAUACAUCUUGGGGGACUGAGGAACGCAGUGUGCCUUUGGCGGGGGUUUCGACCUCUUCACACUUAGGAUGCUGGUGGAAUGGCUUUAAACGACCCGUCUUGAAACACGGACCAAGGAGUCUAACAUGCUUGCGAGUAUUUGGGUGUCAAACCCGGAUGCGUAAUGAAAGUGAA